CGCUAACACACAGCCUUGAUUUGAUCUUCUGAAUUUUUGUCUCCUGCUAGAAGCUAACCUCGAUGUGAGGCUGCCCCUUACUGCUCGGAAGUGAAUGUGAUGGCUGGAGCCCCAACAGCCAUCUUUGCCAAUGAGGACAAGAGCCAUAUUAGAGCGAGUCCUGCUGGUGGCGCGAUUAGGACCUGACUACUGCUUGGGUUUGGAAGAUGCAGGCAAACAUAGAG
rnacentral:lncRNA from 1 species